UACGAAGGGGGCUAGCGUUGCUCGGAAUCACUGGGCGUAAAGCGCACGUAGGCGGAUCUUUAAGUCAGGGGUGAAAUCCCAAGGCUCAACCUUGGAACUGCCUUUGAUACUGGGGAUCUCGAGUCCGGAAGAGGUGAGUGGAACUGCGAGUGUAGAGGUGAAAUUCGUAGAUAUUCGCAAGAACACCAGUGGCGAAGGCGGCUAACUGGUCCGGUACUGACGCUGAGGUGCGAAAGCGUGGGGAGCAAACAGG
rnacentral:rRNA from 1 species